rnacentral:rRNA from 1 species
GACGAACGCUGGCGGCGUGCUUAACACAUGCAAGUCGAACGGCAAGGCCCUGCUUUUGUGGGGUGCUCGAGUGGCGAACGGGUGCGUAACACGUGAGUAACCUGCCCUUGAUUUUGGGGUAACUUCAGGAAACUGGGGCUACUACCGUAUAGGAGCUCCUGCUGCAUGGUGGGGGUUGGAACGUUUCGGCGGUUGGGGAUGGACUCGCGGCUUAUCAGCUUGUUGGUGGGGUAGUGGCUUACCAAGGCUUUGACGGGUAGCCGGCCUGUGAGGGUGACCGGCCACAAUGGGACUGAGAGAGGGCCCAGACGCCUACGUGAGGCAGCAGGGGGGAAUAUUGCACAAUGGGCGGAAGCCGGAUGCAGAAACGCCGCGUGCGGGAUGACGGCCUUCGGGUUGUAAACCGCAUUCGCCUGUGACGAAGCGUGAGUGACGGUAAUGGGUAAAGAAGCACCGGCUAACUACGUG